CCUACGGGAGGCAGCAGUGGGGGAUAUUGCACAAUGGGGGAAACCCUGAUGCAGCGACGCCGCGUGGGCGAAGAAGUAUUUCGGUAUGUAAAGCCCUAUCAGCAGGGGAGAAGAAAUGACGGUACCUGAGUAAGAAGCACCGGCUAAAUACGUGCCAGCAGCCGCGGUAAUACGUAUGGUGCAAGCGUUAUCCGGAUUUACUGGGUGUAAAGGGAGCGCAGGCGGCACGGCAAGCCUGAUGGGAAAGCCCGCGGCCGAACCGCGGGACUGCAUUGGGAACUACCGGGCUGGAGUGCAGGAGAGGGAGGGGGAAUUCCUAGGGGAGCGGUGAAAAGCGUAGAUAUUAGGAGGAACACCAGUGGCGAAGGCGGCCUACUGGACGGUGACUGACGUUGAGGCCCGAAAGCGGUGGGAGCAAACAGGAUUAGAUACCCCGAGUAGUC
rnacentral:rRNA from 1 species